rnacentral:rRNA from 1 species
AUGGAGCAAGGGAGUCUGGUAAAGGAGCUAUUUUACCAAGGCAACGGGCCUCCGGGGCUCGGAGAGGCCAGGAUCCUCCUUCGAUCUGAGCAAACAAAUUCCACCUUCCAGAUCAAGUCAGCUGAACAGGAACGUGUACCUGUACUUCUACUGAAACUUAACGACACUGCUCCUCAAAGAAAGACGGUUAUUAUACUACUGCACAACUCUUACAAAUGCAAGGAAUGGUUGUGUCCACUGCUUCAGGCACUGAACUCAUCUUGGAGGAGUGGGAAAACUAUACCUUUCAUUUUUACACGCAGUGGAGAUCAUUGA